AGCGUUGCUCGGAAUCACUGGGCGUAAAGCGCACGUAGGCGGAUUGCUAAGUCAGGGGUGAAAUCCUGGAGCUCAACUCCAGAACUGCCUUUGAUACUGGCGAUCUUGAGUCCGGGAGAGGUGAGUGGAACUGCGAGUGUAG
rnacentral:rRNA from 1 species